CGACAUUUGUAUAAAGUUCUAGAACAGGCAAGAUAAAUCUAUGGUGACAGGAAUCAGAAUAGUGGUUACCUGGGGUCUGGAAGGAACGGACAGAGCUGUUCCCUGUCUACUCAAUAUCUGUUCCCCUCUCCCCUGCAGCUAGUGUAGCCACUUGAUAAAGUUCUGGUCAAUGAGACGCCUGCAAAAGAGAAGCUUGAGAGGAAGGGUUCUAGUCCCCAUCCCAGCCUCUUCUUUCUCCUGCCUGGUCUCAGCCAUCCUGUGACUGCCCAGUCUGCACCCUGGAGACUUUUCCCCCGAAGCAGCCUUUCUCCUCCUUGUUUAGUCCCUCAGGCUCAAUGGACCAGUAUGGGGGUGAUAUCUUCACAGUGGCUUUUGUUUCUCUUCCUGUUCCUUUGAAGAGGACGCAAGACUGUCAUGUUGUCACUUGGCAACAAUUCAACAAAUGUGAAAUGUCCCUACCCUGUGACCCAGCCGUCUCUCUCCUUGUACACACGCCCAAAGAGGGAGAAAGCUCAGAGCAGCACGGUUGGUGACAGCAAAACUUCGGAAACACGAAGUAUCCAUUGAAAGGUUAGGACAUCAGAGUGCGUCCUUCGGGUGGAAGAUGCCACAGCAGUUUAAAAGGUUAGGAUUGAGGUAUUCACCCAAGAGACAGGCGAACACAAGCCCAAAUAAAGACUUGUCUGUGAAUGUUUACGGCAAUGCUAUUUGUAAUAGCCCCAAACUGAAAACAUUCAAAUGUCCGUCAACUGGUAAACAGAUAAGCAAAAUGGAACGCAUCUGUGCAAUGGAAUAUUAGCCAUAUAAAGGAUGACGUGAAGCCUACAGCAUGGAUGAAACUCCAAACAGUUAUGCUCAUAAAAGAAGUCAGAUGCAAAAGACCAAGUAUUGUGGAGAAACUGAGGCCCAGGGAGAGACUGAGGCCUGUGCAACCCCACAGCUCCCUGGGCUCAGGCUCAGGCCCAGGCUGAAGUCCAGGCCUCGGACGAAGCUCCCAGCUCUGCCCCCGCACUGCGCUCUGCACAAAUUGUUUCGUGUCUCCGGGAAGAGGGAG
rnacentral:lncRNA from 1 species